UUAACUAUUAUAUAGUACUCAGACGACACAUAAAACAAGAGUUGGUUGAGUCUCCGGCGGGCACACACAGGCCAAGGCCCGUGGCAAGAAGCGACCCGCCAAAGCAACAAGAGAAUAGAUAUCAAGGGUGGGAGGUCUACCCGUGAGGGCAAGAACUCUAUAAUGAUCCUUCCGCAGGUUCACCUACGGAAA
rnacentral:misc_RNA from 1 species